CUGUAACUGUAAAACAUCAAGUAAGGAAUUUCCUGUGUGGUACAGAAACUGCACCCAUGAAAAUCAACCUUCUCUUGUUCUAAAACUAGAAGAGGAUUCAUGGAAACCCACCACUGACCAAGAAACUUUUGUGAAUUCACUAUCUCGGUUCCACUUUGUAAAGAACCAGUCGUCUGGAUCAUAUGAUCUGCUGAUCAUAAAUAUUUCUUAUUCUGAUGAGGGCCUCUACUACUGUGGAAUUGGGAAGCGCAAGGUGGAACAGACUUCAGUCAUCAGUCUCAAAUAUAUUUACAGAUACAGCAGUGUUACAACAAGGAUCCUAAUCAAUUCGAGUAACCAACACUACUCAACUUCAACUUCAACCGAUUUCCUGACUACACCAGACUGUAGCAUGUGUUGGAAACUGCUAUUCAUCCUGUGUCCAGCAUCGUCUGUUUUCUCCUCUUUUCUUGUCUCUCUUCUUGUUCAUCACAUCUGCCAGAAAAAAGUUGAUCAGCCCAAACCUGAAAUGAGUGGAAAAGCAAGGAGAAAUCAGGAUGAAGAUGUGUUUUACGCCACAGUGAAAACCGGUCAAGCAACACAAAGACCAAAGAAGAAGAUAACCUAUAGUUCUGAAUUCUGCACA